CAUAGACAAACGAGAAACUCGACAAUAUGUAUGAUCAAAUUUAUUAGUAUUGACUUACUAGAGGCAAGAACUAUAAAUUGAAAAUAUGAAUGAUCAAGUUUUAAGGGGGCUAUUAUCAAAAUAGGAACUUAUUUGACAAAAAAAUUGAAAUCGGGCAUUUAUCAAUUGGGCUUACAAGAAUAAACAUUUUCAAGUAUUUGAAUUGAUGAUAUUGCCCUUGUGUUUUACUUCUUCUUUCUUCUUCUUCUUCAUCGUUUUUCUUCUGCUUUUUUUUCUUCUUUUUCUCCAGAAACUUUAAAUGGGUUUUGAUCAUUCAAAAUUAAUAGAACCCAAACAAGAUAUGCUAUGUAUCUUUUAAGGCGAUUUUCGUUUUCGAUUUGUGGUAAUGAAAAAAAGAAAAUAAUUUUGGUUUGAAAUAGUUGAUUCUCUUCAGAUGAAUUCAGUGGAUCCAAUUAAACAAGCUUUCAUAGAGGAAAUUUAAACCCUAGAAGAUAAUAUAUAUGAAACCCAAGAGUUCUAAUCUUAGAUUCUCAUCAAAUCAAAUUUGGAUCCAAUUAAACAAGUUUUCAUAGUAAAAAUCUAAACCCUACAAGAUAAUAUAUAUAGAACCCAAUUGUUCUAAUUUGAGAUUCUCAUUAAAUCAAUUUUUUGAUGGUAAAGAGAAGAAGAAGAUGAGCUUCCCCACCAUUGAAGAGAAAACACACGCGUGUGGAUCAUCAUAUUAUUUUGUUUUCAGAUUUGCUUU